rnacentral:hammerhead_ribozyme from 1 species
GCACUGCUGAGGAGUCCCACAACAGGGCGAAACUGCCGUCCAGUGC